GUCAUUUCCCAGUCUAAUCAGCCAGCUGGACGCAAUUAAAAUCCCGACUUUCCAUGCCGAAACGUCACACCUGCUUAGUAGAUAACAGUUACCAAAAAUUCUUUCCUCUAUCUGUUAUCAUUUUCGAUUCACUCAUCAUUUGAAACAUCUUCAAUCCGAGUUCCUUGGCCACUCUUCUUCCAAGGCAACUUCAUUGCAGAUCGGCGUAUCCCUUACCAGUGCCUAUGCUAGAAACAAAGAUGAGACAUUGGCAUGAAGGGUCGUUUUUGAGGCUUUUAUCUCUCCCAUCUGAUCUCGAACAACAAUCCCCGAUGCUGAUCUGGAAUUGUUUGCAUCAAAAGCUACAUCGAAUUGUAUUAUGUCCCUUGUUGUCUCCUCCCUUUGCUUUUGUGUUCUGGUAGUCCCCAAGGGCAUUGCUGAAGACAUGGAAGCUGUCCUCUUCCCCGGACCAACAUCGAGGGCAUCUCACAUUUGUGGUUAUUCGCUUGCAUCAGAGAUUGACUAGUGUAGGAAUAUAGUUCUAGAAUAUCCGCCAGAAUAGAAGUAGAAUUUUUUAUGGAAUUUGUAAAUUCCAAAGUUUUCUGUAUAAUUCUUUAGUAUCGGUCUAUAAUAAAUAACUAUUAGGAUCCAGAAAGUUCACCUUUCCAAACGAGCAAGUCUUCGCAGUUUGUUACUGCAAGUGGGAUCUGCAAAAUUCUUUGAGUAAUGUCCGUUUGAAAGAUAACAGGUUCUACCCUUGGAAUCCACUGACCUGUCCAAAUGGAGAUGCCAUUUCCUCUCCCAACUCUCCAACUUAGCCCUUGAAGAAUUAGUCCCUUUGCAACCCAAAUACUCUUCCAUGUAAGAGAAGGUGACCGACCAAGGGUUCUUUAAGAGGCUUAAUUGCUAAAAUCUCUAUGAAGAGAUGAUGCUAGGCGUGGGAAUGAGAAAGGCUAAGAGGAUUUGGAGAAAAGAGAGAAUGAUGAAUGAUGAAAAUGAAUGAGGAAUGAUUGUAGGAUGCUUGAGGGAUGCUUGAAAGGUGCUUCAAGGAUGAUGUAUGAAGGAAUGAGAGGGUCUUAUUUAUAGGUGAGGAGAGGGGGAUAGUUUGCUAAAAAUAGUGGAUGUUAACCUUUUCAAAUCUCCUCAAAUUGUGGCCAGCCAUGCUUAGUGGCUUUUAACUUGAUUUUUUUUCUUGAUUUUUAAGCAAUUUUAUAUGCCACACAACUCAGGACUGACACUCGGUCAAUGGUAAAUCUUUGGGAAAAUCUCUAAUUUCUUCAACACUACAAGGACCUUGUGUAAUUAAACCAAAGAAUAGUUUAAAUGGACAACCAUGUGUAGCCGAAUAUUGGGUUGACUUGGUCUCCAAUUUGGACAGUUUUGUAAUCUAGCAAAGCUAUCAGACCUAUCCAGAACAAAUUAACAAGUUAGAGGACCAAAGAAUAAAAUUUAUUAAAUAAAAUUUUAUAUUUUAUUAUUUAAUUUAAUCAUGCAUGGCCCACUUUAUGUAAAAAGGUGAUAAAUUACAUAGGAAAAAUCCUAUAUAUUUUUUCGUUUACACAGCCCUAAACUUAAAUCAUUGCUUGUCCCGAGUAAUUUUUAUGCAUAGCAAAAGGUCUUGCUAAGGAAAAAUUGCUAAUUGUGUAAGUAGCAUCAAUCUUUGUCCCAUAAUCAUGCAUUAAUAACUUCAUGCUUAUCGAUCUUCUUUAUUAACAAGUAAUUCAUAUGCAAACAUUCCUUAAGAUUAUACUAAGCUUCAAAAUAUGCUAACAUGAAUCAUAGUUUGCAUGUAUGUCCCAGUCAUAGUUAACAUUCUUCAUUCAACAUAAUUUCCUAUCAAUCAAGCAAACAAUCACAAGGCUUAUUUAUGAUUUUUAUAUGUUGAACUUAAGACUUCCUCUCCACUAAUGUUGGUGACAUAAUCAUCAAAUCAAUAGGUCUUUUAUAAGGUUGUAAUGGGGCUCAGUUAAAGGUAGGGAUUUUAAGAGAUAAGACAUUUCGGUUUUAAAAAUCUUAACCUUUACCUUUGUCUUGAUUUUCUCGUACUACAACUUUUUUAUUUAAGUGAACCUUUGGAACACUCCCAAACUUAGUUUGAACUCAAGCUCAUACAUUUUUCCUUUUUGAAGACUGAGCAAAUUUUUCUUCGCUCUUUUUUUUUAAGCAUGAGCACAUACAUCUUUAUGAAAAUUUCCUCAAAUGUUGAUUCCUAAGACAACUUUAGUUAAAAUAGGUGCACAAAAUUAGGAAAAUUUUGAAAAGAUGGUAACUGGCUUAUAAUGUAGGUUCAUUGCAAAAACAGGCCUUUAAGCUAAAAAUUACAGUUUCAAGGGUCUAAUAUCAUAGGGUUGGCUUGAAAAGGCUCAAACGGUCCAAAGAAUUAGUGCCUAUAUCAUUUUAGAUUUUUAUGUCCCUUAGGAUUUCGCCUCAAGAAAGUUACUAAGUCAAUUCUAAAGAUAUAAACCUUCAUGCAUGUCUAAUCUCAAAAGAAACUAAGUUUUCAUAGCAAACAUUACUAAAGCUAAGAUCAUACAAGCAUUCCAUUCUUCAUGGUAACAUACUUUCACUUAGAUAAAAUCAUCAUUCAUACUUGCAUACAGACUAUCUCAAUAACAAAAAAAUAUCUCUAAACAUUCAUUUACUAAAACAUACUUAUGAAAGAAAUAAUUGAAGCAUACUUGAAAAAGUUUUAAAAGUUUGAGCAAUUUAUUUACCUUACCCCCUUUAAAAAGAAGUAAUGUCCUCAUUGCAAGAACAAAAUAAUGAAUGAAAAUUGAACACCAGUAAAAAAAUGGAGGUGAGUCAUUAAGACUACUUAAAUACCAAGUCUUCCCUAAUAUCCCAAUCCUAGACAUGUUCAUUCCUAUUACCACAUCACUUAGUCUUAUUCUUUCUAAAGAAGUGUUAAGUUUGUUCAUGCUUGCUAUGUUUUAUUUUGCAGAAAUUAAAUCCUAAUUACGAAGAAAAAUUCCUAAAGACCUAAAAAUAAUUAAAUAAAUAACAGGACAAGAAUCCCUCCUUUUAUUUUUCUGACUUAUUCCUCUUGUCUUCUUUAGCUCCAUCUCCGCUUGCAUUGUCAGUAUCUUCCAUCCAUGUCUCAAAGAUAGCAUCUGGGAACCCAGGACAAAAGUAUUAGAGAUUUUCUUAAAAAGUAUUUUGAAUUGAUUCAUCUCUAAUUUUUUUCAUAUUUCUAGUAAGUUUGUUAUUGAUUGUGCAUGGACUUGCACAUAUCCAUCAAAAUUGACAACUCCAAUUUCUUUGACUGGUUCUUCUUCUGGCUCAACCCUUGGUUCAAGAAUGUUCAGUUCCUUAUCAGACUCUUCCUCUUCAGUGUCUAUGACUGAAUUAGCUUCAGUUUCAGUUCCAUCUGUUGACUACUUUGUAUCCGGCUCAGUUGGCUCUUCUUGCUCACAUUGAUUUAGUUCAUGCACUCUCUUUACCAAUCUUUCAAGAUCAUAAUUUGUAAUGCAUACUUGAACAUAUCGCCCCUUCAGAUUCACUUAUGUUUUAACAUGGGCCUUUAAGCAAUGUGAAGUGAUUAAUGAUGGGAAAUAAGCACUUCCUGCUUUCUUUUUAGCACAAUCAUGAAUCUCCUUAAGGAUAAUUUUCCCAACAUUAAUGGACUUUUCUGUCAAAAUUGCAUAUAACAAAAGCAUCCGUUCUAUCGAGAUGGUGGAACUAUGUGAGAUAGGCAUAAAACUGUAGCGAACGAAAUAAAACCAUACCUUUGCUACUCGUUUUAAGUAUUCUCUUCGAAAAGAAUGGCUCUCAUACUUUCUUAUAAUCCAUUAAGAUCCCGAAUUUUUCACAACAUCAAGCACUUGUUGAAGAAAAUCCCAAUUGAUAUUGUUCAUCAUAGGGUAGUACUCAUCUUCUUCAACAUCAGGUAAAUUAAACAAAUCAUUGAUGAACUUAGAAGUAAGAGGUACCUUUUUCUUUCGAACGAUGAUUUCAGUAGCAUCUUGCGUAGUCAAACUAGCAUAGAAUUCUCGAACUAGUUCAUCAUCGGGAAGUAAACGAGCAUUACAAAAUCGUUCCCACUUGAGAGCAUUGAUUUUCUUUCUAAUCGGUAUAGGAACAACCAUCAAAUCAUUACUCUUAAAGUCAAAACCUUUUUUCGGCAUCAUAGGUUGAUGCUUGAAGAUUGAAUCAAAUCUCUCUUUCACUUCUUCAUCGAUCAAAAUCGGGUUUUCAGGUCUUUGAAGAUUUGAUUCUUUUGCGAGAUAUGGUAUCUUUUCCAGAAAAUUUGGCAAAGUUUCUACACAAAAGAGAAAAGAGAAUUCGGCAAAGUAGGUAGAACUUGCUACGGAAAAAAUCUUACGAUGGCAAAAGGGAAUUUCAACAAAAAGGGAAGAGAACUACGGUUUCUUUCGAAAUUUGAGGUUGACGGCACAAAAGGGAGAUUUAGGGAUUUUUAGGGUGUAAGCAAAUUACUUUGAGGGAUAUGAAGAUUAGUAGAUUUGAAAGGGGUUUAUAUAGGAAAAAUUAGGGCAACAUGUAGCAAAAAAUUAGCUAUAUUAGGGUUGCUUGGGCGGCGAGCAAUGGGUGUGACGGCAAGGCAUGGAUUUUCCCUCCUUUUUGCUGUCUUGGGCCUCAAACUCAGACUAUAUCUUACUAAAAAAAUGAUUAGUACUUGGGCCAAAUUUGACCCCCUUUAUCAACAUAAAAAUUUAAAAUUUAAACAGAACAAAUGAAAUUUAAAAAAUAAAUUUAAGUCUUAAUUAGAAAAUUUCUUCUUAACAAAUUACAUUAAAUUAAUUCCCAGGAAAGGUUGGAGGGGUCACAACGGUCCCGCUUAAGUUCCAAUCUCCUUAGACAGAAUUAAUUAAAUGUAAUAAGUUAAGAAAAUAAGUUCUAAUUAUUUAUUUAUUUACAAAAUGAGUUCAUGAAAAAUUAAAGGUCUGUUAAUUUGAACGAGGAUUCAACUCGCUCAACUUCACUAUCCCAGUAGUGUUUGAGACGUUGACCAUUAACUUUAAAUGUACCUCCGUAAUUGUUGUACAAUUCAAUAGCUCCAUACGGAUAAACUUGGUAGAUGAUAUAAGGUCUUUUCCAUUGGGAUUUAAGCUUCCCAGGAAAUAACUUCAACCUUGAAUUAAACAACAAAACCUUCUGACCUUCUUUAAACUUGCGAGGUUGUAUAUGACUAUCAUGCCAUCUUUUUUAUCUUUCUUUCCACAUUUGGACAUUCUCAUAGGAAAACAACUUCAACUCUUCCAACUCAUCAAGUUGUAACAUCUUGCUCUCACCGGCUUGCUUAAGAUCAAAGUUCAACUGCUUCAAAGCCUAGUAAGCUUUAUUCUCCAACUCUAAUGGCAAAUGACAUGCCUUCCCAAAGACUAACCGAUAAGGAGUCAUUUCUAACAGAGUCUAAAAUGCUGUUCAAUAGGCCCAUAAUGUAUCAUCGAGCCUUCGAUACCAAUCUUUCUGCUAGGGCGUACUACAUUUUCAAGGAUAGCCUUGAUUUCGCGAUUCACUCUUUCAACUUGCCCAUUAGACUGGGGUGAUAGGCAGUAGCAAUCUUGUGCUUCACAUCAUAUUUUUCAAGCAACCACUUAAGCCAUUUGUUCACAAAGUCAGAACCUUCAUCACUAAUAAUAGCUCUUGGUGUCCCAAAUCGUGUAAACACAUGCUUAUGUAGGAAUCGCAUGACUACCUUAGCAUCAUUUGUAGGGUAUGCUUAAGCUUCAACCCACUUGGAUACAUAGUCCACAGUAACUAAGAUGUAUUUGUUCCCAUACGAAUAAGGAAACGGGCCUAAGAAGUCAAUACCUCAUAUGUCGAACAAUUCAAUCUCCAAAAUGUUUGUUAAGUGCAUUUCAUUCCUACUUGAUAUAUUUCCAGUCCUUUGGCAUUUAUCAUAGUUCUUCACAUAAGCACAAGUAUCUUUAAAUAGUGUAGGCCAAAAGAAACCUGCUUGCAAAAUCUUUGCUGCAGUAUGUGAACCACCAAAGUGUCCCCCACUUGGAGAUGAAUGGCAAUGAUACAAGAUCUCAGCAAUCUUGCUUUCAGCUACAUAUUUUCGGAUUAUAUUAUCUACACAUUGUUUAAACAAAAAUGGAUUCUCCCAAAGAUAAUACCGACUAUCAUGAAGGAAUUUUUUCCUUUGUUGGUAUGUCAUUUCUCGAGGAAUUAUUCAACAUGCAAAAUAAUUGGCAAAAUCAGCAAACCAGGGUAUUUCAUGAAUUCGAUUUACCUUAAAUAAGUGUUCAUCUGAGAAAUUCUCGUUGAUAGGCACAUAUGACUGAGUUACCUCAUCUUGCUCCAACCUCGACAGAUGAUCAGCUAUUUGAUUUUCGACACCUUUUCUGUAUUGGAUCUCAAGGUCAAAUUCAUGGAGUAAAAGUAUCCAACGAAUUAGCCUUGGUUUUGCAUAUUUCCUUAUGAGCAAGUAUUUAAUGGCCGCAUGGUUAGUAAAUAAUGUAACUUUGGUACCUAUAAGAUAUUAGUGGAAUUUGUCAAAAGAAAAAACUAUAGCGAAGAUUUCCUUUUCUGUUACUGUAUAAUUGCGUUGGGCUCUCGUCAAAGUUCUACUUGCAUAGUAAAUAGGGUGAAACACUUUAUUUCUUCUUAGACCCAUCACAGCUCCAACGACAUAGUCACUUGUAUCGCACAUCAACUCAAAAGGUGAGUUCCAAUCAGGUGUAACGAUUAUUGGGGCUGAGAUUAACCGCUUCUUUAGCUCUUCAAAAGCUUCCAGACAUGCUUUGUUGAAAUCAAGCACUGUAUCUUUCUCUAUCAACAAACACAACGGUUUAGAAAUUUUCGAGAAAUCUUUGAUAAACCUUCGAUAAAAAUCGGCAUGGCCUAAGAAACUUCUGAUUCCUUUCACAUUCAUUGGGGCCGGUAAUCUUUCGAUUACGUCCAUUUUUGAUUUAUUGACUUCAAUUUAUUUUUUUGAAAUCUUAUGAACUAAGACAAUCCCUUCAUUGACCAUAAAAUGACAUUUUUCCCAAUUAAGGACCAGAUUCGUCUCUUCGCAUCUCUUCAGUACCUUAGCCAAAUUACUCAAACAAAUAUCAUAAGUGUUACCAAAAAUAGAAAAAUCAUCCAUGAAAACCUGAACAAAAUUUUUAACUAUAUCAGUAAAUAUUGCCAUCAUGCAUCGUUGAAAAGUUACAGGUGCAUUGCAUAAACCUAAAGGCAUUCGCCUAAAAGCAAACAUAUCGUAUAGACAAGUAAAGGUUGUUUUAUGUUGGUCCUCUAGGGCUACAACUAUUUGGUUAUAUCCUGAAUAGCCAUCUAAAAAAUAAUAUAAUUCAUUACCUACCAGUCGAUCUAACAUCUGAUCCAUAAAAGGCAACGGAAAAUGGUCCUUCCAAGUGGCUUUGUUCAACUUUCUGUAAUCAAUAUAGAUUCUUCAUCCGGUAAUAGUCCUUGUUAGAAUUAACUCAUUAUGCUCAUUUUUAACAAUCGUGAUUCCACAUUUCUUCGACACACACUGCACCGGACUUACCCACGAACUUUCUAAAAUAGGAUAGAUGAUUUCUACAUCUAACCAUUUGAUCACUUCCUUUCUCACAACUUCUUUCAUAAUAGGAUUGAGCCUCCUUUGCCCAUCAAUUCGAGCUCUUUCACCGUCUUCUAAAAUGAUUUUAUGCAUGCAAAAAGAUGGGCUUAUACCUCGAAUAUCAGCUAUGGUCCAACCAAUUACUUUCUUAAAUUUCUUUAGAACAAUAAUUAGUUGCUUCUCUAAAUCUUUCAUCAGUUUCGCUAAAACAAUCACAAGCAAAGUAUAAAAAUCACCUAAAUAAAUGUAUUUCAAAUGGGAAGGAAGUACUUUUAGUUUGAUUUUAGGGGGUUAUUCAAUUGACAACUUGGGUUGCACAAAUUCUCUAACUUCUAAUUCCAAAGGUUCAAACCAUGUGGAUUAAAUAAAAUUUCUAGGAUUGGCUUCCAUUAAAGGGUCAAGGUCUAAGGCUUUCUCUAAUGGAUCUUCUUCAAAAUUACUUUCCAUAGAAACCAAGGUUUCUAUCUCUUCUAUAAUUGAACACUCCUCUGUCAAAUCGGGAAAUUUCAUCACUUUAAGAAUGUUAAAGGUUACCUGAUCGUUUUGAACUCGCAUGAUGAGUUCUCCUUUCUGCACAUUAAUUAACGUUCUUCCCAUGGCUAAGAAAGGUCUCCCAAGGAUGACUGGCACUUUCUUGCCUGCUUCAAAAACUAAGACAAUGAAAUCAACAGGAAAAAUAAAUUUAUUGGCUCUUAUCAAAACAUCCUCGAUCUUUCCUUCGGGAUAUGCUAAAGAUCGAUUUUCUAGCUUAAGUGUCAUAGUUGUAGGUCUUACUUCACCUAUCCCUAACAACUUGAAAAUAGACUUAGGCAUCAAGUUGAUACUCGCUCCUAACUCACACAAAGCUUUACCAUAGUAAGAUUCACCAAUGUUACAGGGUAUAGUAAAGCUUCCUGGGUCUUUCAAUUUCGGUGGCAAUUUGUUCUACAAGAACGCACUGCACUCUUUUUUCAAGGCAACAGUCUCAUACUCACUCAGUCGUUUCUUCUUAGAAAGUAUAUCCUUCAUAAACUUCACAUAAUUUGGCAUUUGUUCUAAAGCCUCCACCAACGGAAUAUUGAUGUGUAACUACUUCAGAACAUCCAAAAACUUCUUGAACUGCACCUCCUAUUUCUGCUUGUGUUGCUGCAAUCUUUGCGGAUAUAGAAGUGAUGGAACUUUUGGUUGAACCGGACAACUUUUUUAAGUAGGUAAAUCUGCAUUUAACUAAGAUGUUAAAAUAUCUUAAUUCACUAAGUCAGGGUUUACCUUGUCAGACUUUGUAGAUUCUGAUUCCUUUGUUGUAGGAACUUCAACAGUUGGUUGAUUCUUUUCAACGGGCUUAUCUUCGACAUCAAUCAAUCGAGUGUUGUUGCUUGGCUUUGGAUCAAAGCGUCAUUCUUUGCCAUGUAUGCUUUCAACAAGUUCACUAAAUUGUUUGAUGCCUCAGCUUGAUGUGGUUUUGGAGCUUGCUGAUUAAACCCUUGAGAUUGGUUGGGUCUUUAUUGCAAUAAGUUGUUGUUCGGACCAUUUCCUUGGUUGCUCCAAGAAAAGUUACGAUGAUCACGCCAUGAAGGAUUGUAGAAGUUAGACUAGGGUCCUUGUCCAUUCCUAUUUUGAUAUUGGUUCCCCACAUAGUACACUGACUCAGGAUUUGAUGGACAAUUCUCAAAAGAAUGACCUUCCCCACUGUAUACACAGGAAAUUACUUCAAACGGACUUGGUGGCUGAGCUGCAGAAUUAUUAGUACUAUUAGUGGUUAAAUUUUUUAUCAUAGAGGUAAUAGACGAUACCUAAGCUGAUAAAGAAGUGAGGGCAUCAACUUCAUGAACUCCGGUUACACGUCUUCUUGAAGCUGUUCGAUUUGUUGGCCAUUGAUAGUUAUUACUCGCGAUCCUCUCGAUGAUCUCAUAAGCCUCAUUAGAAGACUUAGACAAAAUUGCACUAUUCGCGAAAGCAUCUACCAUCAAUCUUGUAUGUGCAUUAAGACCAUUAGAAAAUGUCUCCAACUGGAUAUAAUGAAGAAUCCCAUGAUGAAGACACUUAUGAAGUAACUUCUUGAAUCGUUCUUAAGCCUCAUACAAAGACUCGUCAUCCAAUUGUUGGAAAGUUGUGAUCUCGUUCCUUAACUUAGUGUUUUUUCUAGGUGGGAAAUACUUAACCGAAAAUCUCUCUGCUAAUUCUUGCCAUGUAGAUAUGAAACUGGGUGGCAAUGAAUUAAGCCAUGCUCGUGCUCGAUCUCGCAACGAGUACCAAAACAACUUUAACCUCAGCGCGUCUUCAGUCACACCAGCUAUCUUGAAUGAAUCACUCACCUCCACAAACAAUUGAAGGUAGAGAUGUGGAUCUUCCGUGGGCAUACCACUAAAUUGGCCCACCGUUUGUAGCAUUUGAAACAUCACUGGUUUCAAUUCAAACUGGGUUACCUCAAUAUCUAGCAUUCUAAUUCCUGGGUUUAACUUACUGAAAAGUGGCACAGCAUAUUGUCUGAUGCGUCGAUCCCUAUCAUCGGCAAUGAUGAUAGGAUUUCGUACAUGAUCGGCUUCAUUACCUUGGUCUUGAUUCUGAUUUCCAAGGUCCAUCUUGACUUGUCUUUGAGCUGUUCGUUCACGUCUUCUUUGUCUGAAAGUUAGCUCAAUUUCAGGGUCUACAAUGAGUAAAUUGAUAAUUUGAUCUAUGCUCAUAAACACCUGAAAAGAAAAUCACAAAAACUAAAAAGAAUAAGUUAGUAAUUUUAGAAAUAAAUCAAAUUGAAAGUAAAUAAUUUCACGAAAAAAAUUGACUAUGGCAAGAGUUGACAAUCCCCGGCAACGGCACUAAAAACAUGUAGCGCGUAGGUUUGUGCAAGUGUUCACAGUCGUUAUCAAGUAAUAAGUAAGUAUCGAGUUAUCGUCUCCACAAGGAUUGUAUUUGUGCUAAGUCACUUAAUUUGUAAAAUUAUAUUAACAAUUUGGUAAAUAAAAACACAAUAUAGUUGAGAAGUGGUGAUUAAAAUAUAAUAAACUAAAUGCAAUGAUCCCUAAUGCAAAUUAUCGUAAGUAUGCAAACUAUAUGAAUGAAAUAGAUUUUAGUAAAAUUAAACACAAUUUACAACAAUUAUAACAUAAAUAAACUAGAAUGAUUACUUUAAUUAAACUCAAUUUAUUAUCAACAUGCUUAAUAAGAUUCGAAAAAAUAUUCCAUGACAACUUGAUCUUUCAUGAGUUUGGAAACCACAUUAGGUCCUUUCGAAAUCCUUUACUUAGUAAAUACGCAUUUUACUGAUCCUUAUUUACGAAGGGUUUCUUAGUAUUCGUGUGAGGUAACAGGGACGUGUCAGGUUUGAAACAAUUUAAUCACACAAAUCUAAAAACUAUGCAGAUAACAGAGCUUGGUAGAGUUGUUAUGCAACCUUCAAUUUAAUUGGGUUAGGAUCUAAAUUGAGCAUGCAUAUUUCAAUUAUGUCUCCAUUAGCCGUCGUCUGGUCAGGAUCGCUCAGCUAAUUCAGGUGCAGUUCAAUCACGUAUGAAUGAAAUGCAGACUUGAUUUUAAUUGAAAACAUGAUUGAUUGAGGCACAAACAUUUUAAGGAUGAAUCAAAUUAUUUAAUCAAAGCAAUCAUCCUAGCUUAAAUAAAAUUAAGCUAACAUUGUUGUAAACAAGAACAAAGAACACAUAGCAAACAUUUUUAUAUUAAAUUAAAGAAAAGGAAGAUUAAACCUAAUUCAGAGUGUCUGCCACCCAAGAAUCUGACUGACGAGGCUGCUUUGUUCCUUUACUUUUCUCCUUUGCUGAUGGCUCUCCAAGGUGGCUGACCAAUGGUUCUUUAAGAGGCUUAAUUGCUAAAAUUUCUAUGAAAAGAUGAUGCUAGGUGUGGGAAUGGAAAAGGCUAAGAGAAUUUGGAUAAAAGAGAGAAUGAUGAAUGAUUGAGGGAUGAUUGAGGGAUGCUUGAGGGAUGCUUGAGGGAUGUUUCAGGGAUGAUGAAUGAAGGAAUGAGAGGGUCUUAUUUAUAGGUGAGGAGAGGGGGAUAGUUUGCUAAAAAUAGUGGAUGUGAGCCUUUUCAAAUCUCCUCAAAUUGUGGCCGGCCAUGCUUAGUGGCUUUUGACUUGAUUUUUUUUGCUUGAUUUUUAAGCAAUUUUGGAUGCCACACAACUCAGGGUUGAGGCUCGAUCAAUCGUAAAUCUUCGGGUAAAUCUCUAAUUUCUUCAACACUACAAGGACCUUGUAUAAUUAAACCAAAGAAUGGUUUAAAUGGACAGCCAUGUGUAGCCGAAUAUUGGGUUGACUUGGUCUCCAAUUUAGAUGGUUUUGUAAUCCAUCAAAGCUAACAGACCUAUCCAGAACAAAUUAACAAGUUAGAGGACCAAAGAAUCAAAUUUAUCCAAUUUAAUUAAUUAAUUAAAACCUAAUUUAUUAAUGAAAUAUUUUAAAAUGAAUUAUUAAAUAUGAUUUUAUAUUUUAUUAUUUAAUUUAAUCAUGCAUGGCUCACUUUAUGUCUUAAAAAAUAUAAUAUAUUCAAAGUAAUAUAAAACAAGCCAUUUAUUACAUGAAAACUAUAUGAUAAAGCAUAAAAUCACAUUUUAAUAAUUUCUAUGUCCUAAUUUCAUAUUUUCACAUAUUUCAUUAAUUUAUUAAACAAUAACUUGUUUUAACAAUAAAUUUAAGUAAAAAUAUGAUAAAUUACAUAGGAAAAAUCCUAUAUAUAUUCUCGUUUACAGAAUGACAUGAGCCUUCCAAAUCUAUGUAAAAAGAGUUGUCAGACUCAUAGUAGAACCAGAAGUAAGAGGGAGAGGGAUAGGAGUCGAGAACGAUUGAAACAACCGAUAUUCACUUUGGACCGAGUAACAACCAGUCGGAACCCCAUUCCAAAUAAGCACAUCGUGGCCAACCAAAAAAUAUAAAAGAAUACAGAGGAUACGCGUGGCCUCUUUAGUAGAAAAUAAAGCUUGUAUCAAAGCAACAUUCUAAAGGGCGGAACAAGGGAUAAUUAAAUCACUAACCCAUGAAACAACAGUAGUAACAUGUGUAUGCAGAGAGCCAACAUUCAUUCCAAAUCGAAAUGGAGUAACCAUCACCCACUCCCCAACCCAGUCCCUUUUCCAAUAGUACCCGAGAACACCAAAUACUACGCCAAGUAUAAGAAGGGGGAUAUCCCAACUCGGCCUCUAAGAAAUCUAUAUGCUGAAAGUAGCGAGCCUUCAAAACUCGACUUAAAAGGCUAGUCAGAUUAGUCACAAGACACCAUCCUUUCCUCGCUAGAAAGGCAAUGUUAAAGGUAGUUAAAUCACGAAAGCACAUCCCUCCAACAUUUGGGAGUGCACAACUAGGAUCAGGAACACCAUGGAAUACCCCUACGACAUCCUGAUGUCCACCAUAAAAACUUAUUCAUAAUAACCUCCAAAUCAUAGCAUAGGGAAAUAGGAAACAGAAAACACUGCAUAGUAAACGUGGGGAUCGCCAGUAAAAUUGACUGAAUAAAUACACCCCUACCACCUUGCAAAAGACAUCACAUAUUCCACCUAUCCACACUACGUCAGAACCAAUCCUUAAAGUGUUGGAAAGUAGCUCGUUUGUUUCUCCCAACCAAAGGCGGAAGGCCCAAGUACUUGUCAAAAUGAUCAAUGACACGCACACCUAAAAUCGAUCCAAAAAGAGGUAUCGUAGAAGGGCCAAUAUUGGUGCUAAAAUAUGUUACAGAGUUAUCAAAAUUCACCAAUUAACUUAAAUACCUCACAUAUUCAUGGAGAAUAGAUUAAACUGUGGAGGCACUCUUAGCUAUAGUAAGGCUAAAAAUCAUACAAUCAUCAGUAAAUAAAAGACUCGACUGCCCCAUGCCAACCCCGGGAAAAACCCACGUCUAUUGAGCCAACCUGAACAAAGUAGAGAGCCCCUCCCCAUAUAAAGUAAAGAGAAAAUGACUUAAGGGGUCACCCUGUCGAAGACCACGCGAAGGUAAAAAAAGUCCCCCACACUCCGAUUAAUGACCACAAAGUAGGACACUGUAUGUACAUAAAGAAUUAUCAAAGAGACCCAUGCAGUACAGAAACUCAUCCGGAGCAUAACAGCCUCCAGAAAAUCCCACUCAACCCGGUCAUAGGCCUUGCUCAUAUCAGCUUGAAGGUAAAAAAGCCUAAGUUCCCAUGACGUUUCUAUCGGAAAGAAUAAAUGACCUCAUAUGCAAUAAAGUAGUUGUUAAGAAUAAAUGACCUCAUACGCAAUAAAAUACUGUGUUACGGUCUUUCUGACGUAAUCAAUUCACUCAUGAUUAUUGACACAAAAAUAUCUCCUUCUAAUCCACCUCUAAAUUAAUAUCCAACUUAAUGUCCGUUAUUUCGGCCAAAAUGUCAUCAAAAGGUUUAGCAGCAAUCAAACGGUCCAAUCUAGCGAGAGUAUCCCGUUCAACUCCCUGUUUCGACCGAGUGAGUGCUCUCACGUAGAUAAAGUAAGUCCUAAUGCAUGAAAGCGUGAAGGAAUCGACACACAACUAUCAGACCAUACACGUCAAAUCACGUCUUCACAGGCAGGCUUAGAAACCCAAGGAGACUCAAACAGAAACAAACUCUUAGGCACACCAACAGAACCAGCAGACAAAGUGGCACUAACAGUAACAACAAAAGGACAUUGAUAAAAAAUCCAAUGGGGAGCAUGUCGAACCUGUGAAACAGGAAACCUAUCAUUCCACGAAGGAGUCGCAACACAAUGAUCUAAGUGCUAUCAAAUAUUUGAUGCCGAGAACUUACCCCGUUCCCAAGUAAACCACUGCCCAAAGAGAACCCAAAUCAUGAAGAUCACAGUCAGCCAAAGUAAAAUGAAAAUUCUCUAUUUGUUUAUCUCGAUGAAGUCAACCACCCCAAUUUCUCAAAAGCAUACAUAAUCACAUUAAAGUCGCCAAAAACCAGGAAAGGCAAAUCAAGGUCAAAGUGCAGUCAUCGAAAAAGGUUCCAUGACUCGCUCAUACUCUACUAGCGAACUAUAGAAACCCGUCAGUCGCCAACUAGUCUCAUAUGUAUCAUCAACAAUCACCACAUCUAAAUGGUGAGCUGAAUAACUCUACAAAUGGAUUUGGCAUCUUGGUUUCCAUCCCAAAGAAAGGCCACCCGAGUACCAAUAAUCGAAACAUCUAGACCAUAUAGAAAAUCGAAGCUACGAUGAAUCAACUCCAUCCGUUUAACAUCAAGUUUUGUCUCUAAAAGAAACAGUAGUUGUGGAUUGUAACGACACAGCGUAUGUCGCACACGACAAAUAGUCUGUGGGUUCCCCAAACCAUAAAUAUUCCAACUUAUCAGAUUCAUAAUGGUCUGCUGCUCUAGCUCAGAGAGCCGCUGUAAAAGAAGAAGUCUAUGCAAAAUACGAGGUUGCGGAAACAAUAGAGACAAAAGAACUAAGCCGUGCCUAUUUUUUUCCACCCAAAACAAGUCGAGUUCCUUCUAUGAACACUAUGUAAACUCUGUCAAAAUAGUAAAAUGGUCAUCCACCGUCAUGGCCUCAUAACUAAUCUUAGUGGGAUUCGGUUUGUCCAAAGAUAGACCUAAAGUAGUACCCAUUUCCUGAAUAAAAUCCAAAGUAGAAAACAAUGAAGGGAAAGCGUGUGAGGAAUGCGAUCCAUCCCCCAAAAGUGGUGCAGCAAUCAGUGGGUCAUUGCACAACCAAACACUAGUCAGAGACUGUCGACGACACAGUUGUGCCCGCAGGGAAAUAUCCCACUCCAACGAAACAUCCGUAGAACCAAGAGUCAACCGACGAGGACAGAAACUCUCGCUAUGGCCCAAUUUGUUGCAAAAAAGGGAUAGUCGCUCAUAGGAAAAUCGUGCAUAUACCCAGUGUUGAUAAGUUAAAGCAAGGCGCUUUCUCUGCUUUAAUGAAAUUUGGACAUCCAACUGAGCCCGAAUAUGCAGAAACUGUUGUAGACCAAAACCAGGGGUUGAAGAGUCGAGUCCCAAGAAAAGCACCAAAUUGUCGUGCCAAACUCUCAGUCCUAUACCCCACCAGGAUGUCAUGAAUUUGAACCCAGAAGUCCAAAAAACCCAAGGAUACUUUAAGAAGAUUUUCCCCUGACAUUAAACAAUGAAACACGAGCAAGUGGUUAUUGAAAGUCCAAGGGCUACCUUGGAGCACCCGAUCAAUGUUCACAACCGCAUAAAAUUGAAAUCGAAAGCGUUUCUCACCCAGAUCAGAAAUAGAGACACCCCCAAUGGGAUGCCAAAGAUUUGCCAUUAUAGAGUGCAUGGCUUCAAAUCAGAUCACACUCGCAGUCAGAAAACUACCCACCAAACAUAAAUCAAAACAAGAAACACUGCCUGAAGCAUCAGGGGUAACCAGCCAUGCUUUUUCCUCGUCAUCAUGAAGGGAUAAACCUGCAAUUUCAUCUUCCAUAGUCGAAUAUGAGAAGCAGCAUUCACGCAAAAAAAAAUGGAAAAAUGAAGUUCAGAUAAACAAACAAAGAAACCGCACGUGCCACAAGGCAGACUAGUAUUAGUAUUGAUAAAUAUAUUUUUUAGUAUAGGUGUGUUACAAUUUCUUUUUACACAUAACACUCCCAUCUGAUGCAUUUAUUUCCAAUUCGGAUAAAUUGCUCUUUUACCCCUAGUCUUUUAAAUUAUAUAAAAUAAUUGACUUUAAACAUUAUAUUACAAUUUAUAAAACUUUUUAAAAAUUAAUCUUAUUUGCUAUUGUUUUUAUAUAAUAAAAUUCUUUUCAUAAAUUAAUUUGUCUGUUAGUACAUAAUUUUAUAAUAAAACAUUGGUAUAUCUAUUUAUUAUAAUCAUGUUAACAUAAUAUUUUAAUCAUUUUAACAUCAUAUUUCCAAACUUAAUAAUAAAACAUAUAUUUUAUAUCGUACUAAUGUGUAUUAUCGAUUUUUUAUGUUAAGAUUAAAUUUACGUUAUUUUUAUUUUUCUUAAAAUAAUUACAUUAAUAAAUACUAUAAGUCAGUGUCUUGUACAACUAUACAAAUUAAUAUAAUGCAUGUGAUAAACCCAUAAUAUGAAUGGUUAAUUAAAUGGUAAGAAUUUUUAUGGUGACGAGGUAUGUACUAUGAAACCAAACAAGCACAUGACAUGCAUGAGAACAGAUCAUAAGUCACGAUAGAUUAAAUUUGGAAAGUCAACUUGUGAAGUGCUCAGAUACGAAAGUCAGCUCAAAAGGAAUCCCAAUGAGAGAUCUGGCGGGCAAAGGGAAAU